CGCGCAGGCGGUUGUGCAAGUCAGUUGUGAAAUCCCCCGGCUUAACCGGGAAACUGCAUCUGAAACUGCAUGACUAGAGUACAGAAGAGGGAAACGGAAUUCCCGGUGUAGAGGUGAAAUUCGUAGAUAUCGGGAGGAACACCAGUGGCGAAGGCGGUUUCCUGGUCUGAUACUGACGCUGAGGCGCGAAAGCGUGGGGAGCAAACAG
rnacentral:rRNA from 1 species